rnacentral:rRNA from 1 species
GAGCGCGUGUAGCAAUACACGAGCGGCAGACGGGAGAGUAACACGUGGGAACGUACCCUUCGGUUCGGAAUAACCCAGGGAAACUUGGACUAAUACCGGAUACGUCCGAAAGGAGAAAGAUUUAUCGCCGAAGGAUCGGCCCGCGGCUGAUUAGCUAGUUGGUGAGGUAACGGCUCACCAAGGCUACGAUCGGUAGCUGGUCUGAGAGGAUGAUCAGCCUCACUGGGACUGAGACACGGCCCAGACUCCUACGGGAGGCAGCAGUGGGGAAUAUUGGACAAUGGGCGCAAGCCUGAUCCAGCCAUGCCGCGUGGGUGAUGAAGGCCCUAGGGUUGUAAAGCCCUUUCGGCGGGGAAGAUAAUGACGGUACCCGCAGAAGAAGCCCCGGCUAACUUCGUG